UACGAAGGGGGCUAGCGCUGCUCGGAAUUACUGGGCGUAAAGGGCGCGUAGGCGGACAGUUUAGUCAGAGGUGAAAGCCCAGGGCUCAACCCUGGAAUUGCCUUUGAUACUGACUGUCUUGAGUACGGGAGAGGUGUGUGGAACUCCGAGUGUAGAGGUGAAAUUCGUAGAUAUUCGGAAGAACACCAGUGGCGAAGGCGACACACUGGCCCGUUACUGACGCUGAGGCGCGAAAGCGUGGGGAGCAAACAGG
rnacentral:rRNA from 1 species